UUCGUAUGCGAGUGUUCGGGUGUCAAACCCCUACGCGUAAUGAAAGUGAACGCAGGUGAGAGCNUUCNGGCGCAUCAUCGACCGAUCCUGAUGUUCUCGGAUGGAUUUGAGUAAGAGCAUACGGGGCCGGACCCGAAAGAAGGUGAACUAUGCCUGUAUAGGGUGAAGCCAGAGGAAACUCUGGUGGAGGCUCGCAGCGGUUCUGACGUGCAAAUCGAUCGUCAAAUAUGGGCAUGGGGGCG
rnacentral:rRNA from 1 species